AUAAUUCUUAAUUUAAGAGGUGGAAUGACAUGCAGCAAAGGGCCGCAGUUCGGAACUGAACCGGCAGCCGCUGCGGUGAGGAAUGAGCCUCUGUACAUGGGGCACACGUUCUACCAGGUGAGCUACCCAGGC